UUGCUUCACUAAUCACAUGAAAAGGGUCGAUGAAUAUGCUUGACUCUAUAUUUGCAUCAUCAUAAAGUAAGUUAUGUAAAAAUAUACACUACUUCUCAUUCAUUUGCAUGAAUUAGGUCAUGUAAAUGUGGUGACCCUUCAUUUGCAUCUUCAUGAAAUAAUUAGUAUGCACAAUGUUUCAUGUUCAUUUACAAGAACAGGUUGUGAAUAAAAUUUGUAGUAAAAGUUCAAACUAUUUUGCACUUUGAGAGAAAACACAAUGUUUUAAUUAGUAUUUUAACUCGAUGUUCCCAUAGUUUAUAAAUAUUUUCAUCAGAUACGGAUUCAAUCAAGAAUUGCGGUUACGCCUUCAAACCUUUCACCAGCAGUUGAUUCUCAAGCAGCCGAUUCCUUCUGCUCUUCUGGGG
rnacentral:lncRNA from 1 species